UACGUAGGUGGCAAGCGUUGUCCGGAUUUAUUGGGCGUAAAGGGUGCGUAGGCGGCGGAGUAAGUUGGGUGUGAAAUCCCGGGGCUUAACCUCGGAAUUGCAUUCAAUACUGCUUCGCUCGAGUACUGGAGAGGAGGCUGGAAUUUACGGUGUAGCAGUGAAAUGCGUAGAUAUCGUAAGGAAGGCCGGUGGCGAAAGCGAGCCUCUGGACAGUUACUGACGCUGAUGCACGAAGGCCAGGGGAGCAAACGGG
rnacentral:rRNA from 1 species